rnacentral:rRNA from 1 species
UAAUAAAAAAUCUGAUCUGCCCAAUGUGAAUGGCCGCGGUAUUUUGACCGUGCUAAGGUAGCAUAAUCAUUUGUUUUUUAAUUGAAGACUGGAAUGAAAGAUUUGACAAGAGAAAAACUGUCUUAUGUAUUUGAAAUUUAUGAUUGAUUUGAGAAAGAAUGAGGGAAGAAAAGACCCUAAUAAGUUUGAUUAUUUUACUGGGGCGGUAAUGAUGAUAAUAAGGAUAAAUUACUGUAGGGAUAACAGCGUGAAAUAUUUGGAGAGAUCAUAUUGAUAAAUAGUUUUGCGACCUCGAUGUUGAAUUAAAUUUUUUUGGUGUAGGACUUUUAAAGAUUUACA